AGCACGGCUCUAGCGGAGGACGUAUGUCCAGGCUACAAGGUUUCCGCCCUCAUCUACCUGGACCAGCCCCACGUCAGUUUCAUUUCUGAGUUGACUCUAGUCAGAGGAACUUCCCUUCCAGGCAUCUGAAAAUGGAGCUGCAAAGCGACUGGCAGCGAUUUUGUGACUGACUGUCCUGUGAGGAGGAGUGAAAUUGUCCAGGCCAAGAGAGAAGACUUCAACACCUGUGCAGGCGCAGAGGCUCAGGUGAGGCUUCUGUCCUUCACUCUGGAAAAUCCUGUCUACUUCAUCUCUGCCUCUAACCUGAUAUUGGAGCUUUUCAGGAAGGGCCAUGGCCUCAGCCACAGCUACCCAGAAUAUAAGGGAGGAAGCCACAUGCUCCAUCUGCAUGGAGCUGAUGACAGAGCCCGUGAGCAUCCACUGUGGGCACAGCUUCUGCCGCCGGUGCAUAGAGGACAUCCUUGAGAACCCACAAGAGACGUCAUCCCUGAGGGAGCCCCAAUGUCCCUGUGCCGGGCACCAUUUCAAAGGGAGAGUCUCCGAUCCAACAAGCAACUGGAAAACAUCAUUCAAAUAAUUCAAAUUCUCAAGGAGAGUGCCUCCCCUGGUGGCACAGCGUUUGAGUGCCUCGCUGUGAAGCAGUCCCAGCCUGUGCAGCGCCGGUUCAAUCCCCAACCGCCGGAGAGGGUUCCACAAAAAAAACAAAACAAAAAAAAAAAAAAAAACAACCUCUCAAGGAGAUAGACAGUGAGAGGCUAUGUGAGGUACAUGCGAAGAAGCUCCAUCUGUACUGUGAGGACGACGGGCAGCUCAUCUGCUGGCGCUGUGAACACUCCCCCCAGCACAGAGGACACCGCACGGCUCUAGUGGAGGACGUGUAUCCAGGCU